AGAGUUUGAUCCUGGCUCAGAUUGAACGCUGGCGGCAUGCCUAACACAUGCAAGUCGAACGGUAGCAGGCCUUCGGGUGCUGACGAGUGGCGGACGGGUGAGUAAUGCGUAGGAAUCUGUCUUUUAGUGGGGGAGUAACGCAGCGAAAGUUGUGCUAAUACCGCAUAAGCUCUGAGGAGGAAAGCGGGGGACCGAAAGGCCUCGCGCUGAAGGAGCGGCCGAUGUCCGAUUAGUUAGUUGGUGAGGUAAAGGCUUACCAAGGCGACGAUCGGUAGCUGGUCUGAGAGGAUGAUCAGCCACACUGGGACUGAGACACGGCCCAGACUCCUACGGGAGGCGAC
rnacentral:rRNA from 1 species